rfam:Oryza glumipatula chromosome 5, whole genome shotgun sequence.
AAUAAGUAUAAUUUUAUACUGUUUAUCUCUAACGUUUGAUCAUUCGUUUUAUUUGAAAUUUUUUUAUGAUUAGUAUUUAUAUUAUUAUUAGAUGAUAAAACAUGAAUAGUACUUUAUGUAUGACUACUUUUUUUUAAAAAAAUUUAAAUAAGGCGGAUAGUCAAACGUUGGACACGGUUACCCACGACUGCACUUAUU